AGCUGCUGCAGAGUGAGCUUUUUCAAACAACUGGAAAUGUAUGUAGCAUUUUCUUGUUUAAUAGUUACCAAAUACUUUGGGUUGGGUAUGAUUCCAAGAGUCAGUCAGUCUGUCUAUCCAUCCAUCCACACACCCACCCACCCCGAUGAUAGUUUUAUUAAUUUUAAAACAUAUUUUUAUUUUAUUGUGCAAUCCCCUCAACCAUAAACACACCUAAUGAUAAAAAUGAAACCCUGCCCUGUACUAGGGACAGACUAUUUGACCCCCAGCAUGGCUUCACAGUAAUUUUAAGUACAGAUCAUCAAAGCAGCAUCAUUGUUUCACAGUGGCCGGUGAAGUUGCAUUUCACAGCUAUGAGUUUGGAGUUUAUGGAAACAAAAUAGCUAAAGCUAUAAGUUGUCUGAGAGUUUCAGGUACUGAAUUGGCACAGAACCCGUAAGCAUAUCUAUGGUCUACGUAAGCUUCUGCACACUGCCAACUACUGUUCUAAACUUAGUCGAGGCCUUAGGUUUCCUGGGUGUUUGUUGUUUUUCUGUCUUCACGUAACUCAGGAGGAAUGUUUUCUUUUUCUCUCCUAACCAUGGAUUGAUUUCCCCAAAUGAUUGUACUAACGUACUGGGUAAAAAGGCAGUGAUUCUCGGUAGGAGUGGACAGUAGUGGUAGGCCCGGCCUCUGCAUAGCUUUCAGCAUGCCACUGUCUAAGCUGCCUUUUUCCUGCCAUAUAGCUAUGGUGCCAAAAUACCAUCUCCUCUGCAUGUUGAGAUAGGUGAUGCAUCCAUUUCUUGCUCUAGAAACCUACGUUUUCAUUAAAGGUUGAUACAAAAUAUAUUCUUAUUGAGGCUGGCCAGCAGAAGUUCAUGUGCAAAGUUUACAUGUUAAUCAUGGAUCCAAGUUACAGAUGUGUGUGUAGGUCUAUAUACAUACACACAUAUAUGUUUAAACUAGGUUACAGUUCUGUGUUGGGUCACAUUCAUAGCUACCUCCAGCCUCAUGCCGUCAGUCACUGUGGCCAAUGGGCCCUAGGCUGGUCCUAGAUGCCUAGUGCUUUGCUACUGAAAGUAUGGUCUCUAGACCAGCAGCUAGCAGCAGCCAGCAACCUGCAUUCGAGCAGAAUCCAUGGGUUACAUUGUGUUUGGAUAGUGGUGCAUGUCAGGCUUUCCAGCUGCAGUCUCCAGGUCAGCAAAGGACUGUGAGCAUCUGACACCCUCUCUCCUCU
rnacentral:lncRNA from 1 species